UACAGAGGUCUCAAGCGUUGUUCGGAUUCAUUGGGCGUAAAGGGUGCGUAGGCGGCGCGGUAAGUCGGGUGUGAAAUCUGGAGCUUAACUCCGAAACUGCAUUCGAUACUGCCGUGCUUGAGGACUGGAGAGGAGACUGGAAUUUACGGUGUAGCGGUGAAAUGCGUAGAUAUUGUAAGGAAGACCAGUGGCGAAGGCGGGUCUCUGGACAGUUCCUGACGCUGAGGCACGAAGGUCAGGGGAGCAAACGGG
rnacentral:rRNA from 1 species